rnacentral:rRNA from 1 species
UACGUAGGGUGCGAGCGUUGUCCGGAAUCAUUGGGCGUAAAGCGCGUGUAGGCGGCUCGAUAAGUCCGGUGUGAAACCUUGGGGCUCAACCCCAAGCCUGCACUGGAUACUGCCGAGCUAGAGUCCGGAAGAGGAGAAUGGAAUUCCUGGUGUAGCGGUGAAAUGCGCAGAUAUCAGGAAGAACACCCGUGGCGAAGGCGGUUCUCUGGGACGGUACUGACGCUGAGACGCGAAAGCGUGGGGAGCGAACAGG